AAAAAAAAAAAAUUGGGCAGAAAACCCCCUUUAGGUUGUAAAGCCAGAAACUCAUACUACUAUUGUGUACAAUACAAAAAAAAAAGUGUUAUAGCCAAAGUCAAGCAGUUUAUGCCAGAGAGACAGAUAGAAGGGGGGGAUGGAGACCACUGAUCACCACAACUAGCCUCUGCCAAGCCUUUAAUGGAUGCUUACAGACCAACUGUAUUCAACUGCAUAGUAAUGGAACUGUUUUAGGUUAGUACUUUUAAUUAUAUUCCCAAUCCCUAUAACAUACAUAUUUCUGCUAUGAUCCCACCCAUAGUUGGUAACUGCACUGUACAUAACGAUCACAGAAUGCAUAUGUUUUGUGGAUAAAUGCAAGCAGACAAUCCUUUAAAAUUAUAACACCCACAAUCAAAAAUAGCCAUUUCAAGAUUUUGUUCAACAUGGAACAGGAGAGAAUCUUUAAAACCUGACAAAACAAGCAUGUUGUCAACUGGAAUUCAUAAACUCCCAUAUUUUAAAUAUUUAGAAGGCUGAUAAUUCUGACUAAAGUCAUACUUUGCUUAAAGGACCGAUUUAGUUCUUUAAAAUUGACCAGUCUAACCAUAGAAUAAGCCAUCAAUAUUAGAUCGGUGGGAGUCAAAGAAUCGACAUCUCGGACAACUAGCUAUUUAAAGGAGCAUGGGCGUUUUAGUGGGCUAUAUCUGUUAGUGGAGGUGUUGAGAAGAUAGGUUACUUGGUUCUUUAAAAUUGAUGGCCUAUCAAGCUAGUUGACAUGGUACCUUGCAACUCCUUUUUACCCCCUAUAAAGUACAGAGAUCCGGUCGUACACUGAAGAUGUAAGAGAAGGAAACCUAUAUAUUGAAGCUUCAUUAAGAUAGUGAAGGGACAAAUUAUGGUAUUGUAAUAGUUAUCAUGCAACUUCCCAUUAGUCUGGUAAGCCAAUUUGUCAUUUCCUUGCUUCUGGAAGGCAAUUUUACUCUAAAAAGGCAACAAACUACAGCUUUGCACUAGAUUCUAUGAAGACCUGUAUAUCAAUUACCCAUCUACAUAAAAACCAUGAGGAAGCCAUUAAAUGGUCUACACUAAAUCUCUUUAAGGUCACUUGACUGAUUGACACAUGAAGCAGACAAUGUAAAAAAAGAGGGGAUUUUGUCUUUGUAGGUGUACCAAAACAGAAAGGGGAAUCUAGUAACCCAUCAACUCCCUGUCCCAAUACAGCUAUUUUAAA